UUUGUAUUGAUUAUAGACAAUUGAAUUAAGUGACCAUCAAAAACGAGUAUUCUCUAAAGUGACGACUUGUUUGAUUAACUGCAGGGUGCACAUGUAUUUUCAAAGAUUGAUUGAAGGUCGGGUUACCAUCUAUUGAGGAUCAAGGAGGAGAAUAUUUCGGUCACUCUUGGAUAAUUGUGUAAUUGUAUUGUAUUGAUAAAACUAUUUGAGAGCAGGAGGAGGAAAUAAAGAAAUCAUAAUCCUCAUCUUUUCAUCGAUUGAGCUAUGACCAAUUUAGAGGACUAAAUUUUCUUUUAAGGGGGGGAGGGAGAGUGUAAUAUCCCUCACUUUUGAAAAUUUAUUAAUAAGAAUUUAUAUGUA
rnacentral:lncRNA from 1 species